rnacentral:lncRNA from 1 species
AUUUUUCUUCUUCUUUUUUUUUUCUGUUUUUAAAAAAUUAUUAAUAAUUUCCUUUGCUAUCACUCACCCACCCUUCUGCUUUUCCCUCCCUGUCUCUCGCCUUGUUUGCUAGAUCUCUGUUUGACGAAUCGAGGACAUAAAUUAAAAAUAAGGGAAAACUUCAAAAACAUCCAUGUGGUUUCGUAGUUUCUCACUUUCUCCUCUGUGGUUUAAAAUGUAUCAAUUUGCCCCCCGUGUGAUUUCUUUUUUCUCAUUUUCUUACUAAUUUUAUUAUUAUUUUUCUUAAAUCAGUGAUAAAGUUAAAAUUAAAGGGUACUAAAGUGAAUGUUUGAUAAAUCUAGAUGGGUAUCUGAAGUUUUUUGUAUAUAAUUUAAUGAAAUAUUAACGAAAAAGUUACCGAAAAGAUGAAAACGAAACCACAUGGGAGCAAUUUGAUAUAUUUUAAACCGCAUGUGGGCAAAGUGAGAAACGAUGAAACCAUAGGGGUUUUUUUGAAGUUUUCCCUAAAAAUAAGCUGAGAUUUGCAGCUUCUAGUGACUUGAAUUUGAGUGAAAAAAUAAAAUUAUUAAUUUUUUUUAUAAUUUUUUAUUUUUAUUUGUCUUUCUUAUUUUGGUUGUCGUCAAUAUUUUUUUGAAGGCCUCAACUUUAUAACUAAAUUCAUUUACUAAAUAAAUAAAUAAAACGAAUAAUAUAUUAUUUUUUUAUAACAAAAAAUCUUUGUAAUCAACUUCCGCUUUACUUUUCUCUCUCGUGAACUGGAGGAUUGUAUAGAUCGAUUUCUCCUCCAAAUUCCCUUAUCCCGAUCGAAUCCCGGCAACUAGUGAAGUUGAGGAGAGUUGGGUUACGCGGAGUGGGAAGAGAGAGAGAAAAAAUUAUAACUCUAUUUACAAAAUGUAAUUAAAGAAAAUUUUCAAAUACCAUCCUUGUGAUUUUAUACGUUUUUAUUUUGGUACUCUAUAGUUUAAAGUUUAUCGAUUUAGUAGCCCAUGAUUUUUUUUAUUAUUAUUAUUUCUUCCACUAAUUUUUUUUCGUUAAAUAAGUUAAAACGAAAAUAUAUUAAAGUGAAAAUUCAAUAAACUCAGGUUGGGCAUAUGAUAUUUUUUAUAUAUAAUUUAACGAAAUGUUAACGGAAGAAUUGACAAAAAAAUAAAUAAAUAAAGUCACAUGAUAUUAAAAUGAGAAAGUACAAAAGCACAGAAAUAGUAUUUGAAGUUUGCCCUAUAAUUAAUUGUGCAUGGAACUAAGACAAUUAUAUAUACGGCAUAGAUUACACGCCUUAAAUAAUAGUAGUGUCCAUUUUAC